CACUCCGCCUGGGGAUACGGUCGCAAGACUAAAACUCAAAGGAAUUGACGGGGACCCGCACAAGCGGUGGAGCAUGUGGUUUAAUUCGAUGCAACGCGAAAAACCUUACCACUCCUUGACAUGGAGAUUAGAUCCUUCUUAACGGAAGGGCGCAGUUCGGCUGGAUCUCGCACAGGUGCUGCAUGGCUGUCGUCAGCUCGUGUCGUGAGAUGUUGGGUUAAGUCCCGCAACGAGCGUAACCCUCAUCCUUAGUUGCCAGCGGGUUAAGCCGGGCACUUUAAGGAAACUGCCAGUGGUAAACUGGAGGAAGGUGGGGAUGAUGUCAAGUCAGCACGGCCCUUAUGGGGUGGGCUACACACGUGCUACAAUGGUGACUACAAUAGGUUGCAAUGUCGCAAGGCUGAGCUAAUCCGUAAAAGUCAUCUCAGUUCGGAUUGUCCUCUGCAACUCGAGGGCAUGAAGUCGGAAUCGCUAGUAAUCGUGGAUCAGCAUGCCACGGUGAAUACGUUCUCGGGUCUUGUACACACUGCCCGUCACGCCAUGGGAAUUGGCUUAACUCGAAGCUGGUGCGCUAACCGAAAGGA
rnacentral:rRNA from 1 species